rnacentral:RNase_P_RNA from 1 species
GGAGUGGGUUGGACGGUCGCUGGCCGACGUGAGGCUUCGAAUCGUUGAUUCGAAGUUGAUCGAAGGCGAGAGGAAAGUCCGAACACCAAAGGGCAGCGGACUGGCUAACGGCCAGACGGGGCAACCCGAUGACAAGUGCAACAGAGAAUAGACCAGCCGAUGGCUCGAGGCGCUAAUAGCGUUUUGAAGCACAGGUGAUGGGUGAAACGGUGGGGCCCGCCAGGGCUUAAUGUAAGAGCCCACCAGCACGGAUGGCGACAUUCCGUGGCUAGGUAAACUCUCCGUGGUGCAAGACCAAAUAGGGAGGCGUCAAGGCUGCCCGUUCCUUGCUUCGCGUUUUCCGGCUCGCGCCGUUUUCUGAAUAGGCGUAAGCUGGCGAACUCGCAGCAGCGCUUCCGGGUAGGUCGCUCGAGCGCGAGGAGCAAUCCUCCGCCUAGAUGAAUGACCGUCGCCGCGCCUUGCGGCCGCGUCUUUCGAGACCCGGCUUCAAGUGCGCAGCACAGAAUUCGGCUUAUAGACCCGCUCCAGAC